GAUGAACGCUGGCGGCGUGCCUAAUACAUGCAAGUCGAGCGAACAGACGAGGAGCUUGCUCCUUCGACGUUAGCGGCGGACGGGUGAGUAACACGUAGGUAACCUACCUAUAAGACUGGGAUAACUUCGGGAAACCGGAGCUAAUACCGGAUAAUAUUUCGAACCGCAUGGUUCGAUAGUGAAAGAUGGCUUUGCUAUCACUUAUAGAUGGACCUGCGCCGUAUUAGCUAGUUGGUAAGGUAACGGCUUACCAAGGCAACGAUACGUAGCCGACCGGAGAGGGUGAUCGGCCACACUGGAGCGGAGACACGGUCCAGACUCCUACGGGAGGCAGCAGUAGGCAAUGUUACGCAAUGGGCGAAAGCCUGACGGAGCAACGGCGCGUGAGUGAUGAAGGUCUUCGGAUCGUAAAACUCUGUUAUUAGGGAAGAACAAACGUGUAAGUAACUGUGCACGUCUUGACGGUACCUAAUCAGAAAGCCACGGCUAACUACGUG
rnacentral:rRNA from 1 species